rnacentral:rRNA from 1 species
GAUGAACGCUGGCGGCGUGCCUAAUACAUGCAAGUCGAGCGAACGGACGAGAAGCUUGCUUCUCUGAUGUUAGCGGCGGACGGGUGAGUAACACGUGGAUAACCUACCUAUAAGACUGGGAUAACUUCGGGAAACCGGAGCUAAUACCGGAUGAUAUUUUGAACCGCAUGGUUCAAAAGUGAAAGACGGUCUUGCUGUCACUUAUAGAUGGAUCCGCGCUGCAUUAGCUAGUUGGUAAGGUAACGGCUUACCAAGGCAACGAUGCAUAGCCGACCUGAGAGGGUGAUCCGCCACACCGGAACUGGGACACGGUCCAGACUCCUAAGGGAGGCAGCAGUAGGGAAUCUUCCGCAAUAGGCGAAAGCCUGACGGAGCAACGCCGCGUGAGUGAUGAAGGUCUUCGGAUCGUAAAACUCUGUUAUUAGGGAAGAACAAAUGUGUAAGUAACUGUGCACAUCUUGACGGUACCUAAUCAGAAAGCCACGGCUAACUACGUG